GGGAACCAGAGAAAUGGCGCAACCGAGCAAAGAGCCGUGCAAGAAAGAAGCUUGCGACAUUCAAGCUUGUCUCUCCAAGAAUAACUUCCUUCCUCAGAAGUGCCUUAAAGUUAUUGAAAAUCUUCAUUCUUGCUGUGAGAAAUGCGAGUACAAGUCAACACAUUGUGGUUCUCUGUCUAGCCUUCUGAAGCAAAUUCCCAAGUGAGAGCCAAUAUCUUCUGUGUGCAAACUACAAGGCAUUCAUGUUUUGCUAGUUUUCACUAGGGGAAUACAAGAAAUCAUGGUAUUUCACGGUAUACAAUAAAUCAAUUUCUUUUGGCUUUUCCGGUAGAGAUAUGUGAGGAUCUAUAAUAAUACUGUCCAAGAAAAAAGAGCUAGAGAACUUUUUAAUGGGGAUUUCAAUCACAAUCACAAGAAAUGUUCAUUGUACUUGCAUGCUUAUUGACAUGUUUUAACUGCUCAAAGA
rnacentral:misc_RNA from 1 species